UAUAGUUGACUUUCCAGACCUUAUCUGCUGAUGUCAUGACCUCCUUUGGUUUCAUCAUGAAUGGCUACUCAGGGGAUUCUUUGACGUGAAGGGGGUCACCCCUACAUGGCUAAACCUAAUUUAUGGAUUAGUCUGGUAAGAAUAUUGUAUCUAUGUUCCAGAGUUUAUCUUUCUAAGUAAACACGGGACGUUAUACAUCUGUUUUACUCUCCUUAAGCACGACAAACCUAAUUUCCAACCCUGAACAUGAUAUAUAUUUUUUGAACGGAAAAUUAUAGGGGAGGCUCGACAGUACAAAUUUAGUAAAACAAGUACCCAACUUUGUACUAAACCAGAGACAAGUAAUAUGGAUCGGAGGGAGUAGUAAUAUUUACAAGAGAGGGCUGUACAGGGGGAGGGGGAGAAGAACUGCUAAUCUGGUAAGCCUGCUCAUCCUUCAUUCUGUAAGAGAGAAGGAAAGGGUCUCUUUUAAUGAGAAAAGGCCAGGAGGCUAAACUAGGAGGAAUAUUAUGAAAAAAUUCUAGCAUUUCUUUGUUUCCAAAUGUUCCAAGCUGCUACAAGAAAGGCUUCUCUGGAGAGAGGUUUGCUGAGAGGAAGGAGCAAGGUAAAGAUUAAUUGAGGCCCAGCAGCCCCUGCUGAAGGAGCAGUUCCAGAAAAUAUGAUCACGAGUUUCAAGGGUUCUCGAGGAGAAGGGAAUGGCCAUGUUGAUGGGGUCGUCUUUCAAGCGUGUCUUGAGUAUUUAGUCUGUGUCAUUAAAGAGCAAACAGGCAAAAGCUUUGAGUUUGGCUGAGCAUUUGGAUUUCCACAUCCACGAGAAGAUGCUGUAUAUUUGGUGGCAUAAUAGCCAUUCCCCAAUUAGUCAGCUCUACAGCAGCUAUAUGAAUUACCCACAUAACCAUUGGUAAGAAGUAACUAACUUGGUUUAAAACAUAAAUCUAGUAUCUAUUCCCUGUCUGCCUGCCUGCCUGCCUGCCUGGAUUUGAUAGAAUCAACCAGGCACAGCAUGUUCCAUGGUCAUCGCCAGUGGUAACCAAUCAAUCACUAUGGUGGGAACCACAAACCUUGGUUCUUGUCUCUGACGUCACUGAUUGGUGCAUUUCUGUGAGGGCACUCACUAUGUGCAUCCCUCAGCCAUCUAUUAAAAGAGCUAACAUUCAGAAAGUUCGUUGGAUUGCUCCACUUGAUUGCGGCCAACGAUUAAAUCCCACUUUGGUGGAGCAGUGGAGCCCCACGAUUGGUGGUAGUGAUUUCCUUGCUGUCGUACUGGGAGCACCUGUCCACUGAUUAUACGUACUAGUUGAUUUUUUGGAAGAUUUUAAUGUAUAUCCAGGGAUGGUCCAGCUAGGACUCGAGAGUGCUAAUCUAGUAAUCUUACUUGGAAGUUGGAACUGAGAUCUGGUGAUCAUGUCAACUUUAAUAGCAUCGAGAUGGGAGAUGAUUUAAUUAGAUAGAGGACUUUCUAAUCUACACUCCAGGGUUGGGAAAUGCAACACUUCGGAUAAGCAUGAAGUAGUGGCUGAAUAGGAAGGCCACAUUGCUCUAGCUCCAUAUUCUUAAAGGCAUAGCUUUAGAGGUGGAGUGUGCUUCUUCAGCUUUUUGUAAAGGCUUAGGCUACCUUUAUAUUUUAUGGUAGAUUCAGCCCACAUGAUCAGUUCCUGAGUUUUAUAUUUGUUGGUAAAUAUCUCUUGCUGAAAGCACUGCUCGGCGAGGAAGGACCUAUUAUACGCGCUAUUGGAUAAAACUGAAAGGUCCAAUGUCAAUGGAAUUAUGGGACAGCUAGUGAAAAUCGAAUGACAAAUCAAAGAGAUAAUGAGGUAGAAUCUGCAUCUAGUGAAAAGAGAUAUGAAGUUUACGAGUAUAGAUGCCCUGGAAUUGGAUGUUGAUCAUAGCUUCUGCAGUGCCUUUUGUAAAUGCCCUCCUUUUUACAAUGUAGGUUUUAACAUUGUUCUCGUGAGUAAAUAACUGCUUUUGAUAACAGUGGGCCUGGGAGUGGAAUGGGAGUUUCUCUAGAGAGAGAAUGUAGAUGAAAUUGACAUGUAGCGAGGCAACAACGACCUCAUUGUGAAUCCCAGCAAUUGAGCACUCGACACAGUAAAGUUUAGUUUACUCUCAUUGUCCUUUCUCCAAUAAUGCAUUGUACGCUGGCCAAUUUAAAAUGCCACCUUGCAGAUUCUAGGUCCUUGCACUAUGAUUUACCUGGCAAAGCACCUGCAGACAUCAGCAUCCUCACGAGCAUAUAAGGCAACCCUUCCCUCUCCUCUUGUCCACAGCCCCUACCGACUAUGGAAGGUACAUGGCUCGAGCAUCUACAUGGCUCUUGAGAGCGGAAGCAGGGUCGGGAUGAACCGCAAAGCUGAGCGCUUCAGCUUUGCGGUGCCUCUCCUGACCUCCCAGGUGGUCGCCUGAGGUACGCAAGAAUCGGCAAGUCACAAAACGGCAAUGGUGAACUCCGGCAGGAGUCCACCCCCCUUUUAUCCUUUUCUCUCCAUUCAGUUGUAUCAGGUGGAAGUCGAAUAAUCGGAAGUCUCUGUGUGUGAUGAAUCAAUGGAUGCUUCAAGUCCAUGUUUUGUUUUUCUCUUCCUUUAUUAUGUGUACUCUGGAAACACUACUAUAAAUGGCUGAUGUUCAUCUAGCAAAACCACUUUAUGGUGUCUUGUUUGAUUCUCUUGUGUCGUCUUUACCGGUUAACUUGUUAUAUAUGCUGCUUCGAAACA